UCUAGGAAGCUGAGUUCACGUGGAGUUCUAAAUUACAAGGCGUCGUGCUUGGUUCCUUCUACUACGGCUACGCAAUCCUCCAGAUCCCAGGGGCGUGGCUUGCCUUAAAAUGUGGAGGCACAAGAAUCUUUGGCUAUGCUAUAUUUUUAGCAUCAAUGUUUACCUUACUGACUCCUAUAGCAACAAGRGCAAGUGUUUAYGGUCUGAUUGCUGCUCGGAUUGCGGAGGGAUUGGUACUGGGUGCAGUGUUUCCAUGUAACCAUGCUAUUUGGAGCAAGUGGGCUCCYCCACUUGAAAGAACAACUCUCGUUACUUUGGCAAUAUCAGGUAUC